rnacentral:misc_RNA from 1 species
UUAUUGGGACAAAAUGAUUACUUUUUUCCACCACACAUCAGAAAGUAACAAAAUGAUCAAUUUGACAAGUAGUUCAUUUAUCACCUUAACAUAUUUUCUUUAUUAUGAUUGUUCCUCCUAUAAAUGUUCCUUUUUACUAUGUGAACUUUUAAUGUGGAUACUUUUGACUUCACAAACUUCUCUGUAAUUGGUUCUCCUUGUAAAAGAAGUGGGGAGUUCUUAAAUUUAACUGUUGAGUGUGCAAGUAUAUGGAUCUCAAAGUAAUGUUUUUUAAAUUUAUCUGAAACUCUGAACAGAAAUGUUAAGAAGGAGAACACUUGUUUUCAAUCAUUGCAACUCUAAAACCAGGUGGCAUAGAAGGGAA